CAGGCUUAACACAUGCAAGUCGAGGGGCAGCAUGGUCUUAGCUUGCUAAGACUGAUGGCGACCGGCGCACGGGUGAGUAACACGUAUCCAACCUGCCGUCUACUCUUGGACAGCCUUCUGAAAGGAAGAUUAAUACAAGAUGGCAUCAUGAGUCCGCAUGUUCACAUGAUUAAAGGUAUUCCGGUAGACGAUGGGGAUGCGUUCCAUUAGAUAGUAGGCGGGGUAACGGCCCACCUAGUCUUCGAUGGAUAGGGGUUCUGAGAGGAAGGUCCCCCACAUUGGAACUGAGACACGGUCCAAACUCCUACGGGAGGCAGCAGUGAGGAAUAUUGGUCAAUGGGCGAGAGCCUGAACCAGCCAAGUAGCGUGAAGGAUGACUGCCCUAUGGGUUGUAAACUUCUUUUAUAAAGGAAUAAAGUCGGGUAUGGAUACCCGUUUGCAUGUACUUUAUGAAUAAGGAUCGGCUAACUCCGUGCCAGCAGCCGCGGUAAUACGGAGGAUCCGAGCGUUAUCCGGAUUUAUUGGGUUUAAAGGGAGCGUAGAUGGAUGUUUAAGUCAGUUGUGAAAGUUUGCGGCUCAACCGUAAAAUUGCAGUUGAUACUGGAUAUCUUGAGUGCAGUUGAGGCAGGCGGAAUUCGUGGUGUAGCGGUGAAAUGCUUAGAUAUCACGAAGAACUCCGAUUGCGAAGGCAGCCUGCUAAGCUGCAACUGACAUUGAGGCUCGAAAGUGUGGGUAUCAAACAGGAUUAGAUACCCUGGUAGUCCACACGGUAAACGAUGAAUACUCGCUGUUUGCGAUAUACUGCAAGCGGCCAAGCGAAAGCGUUAAGUAUUCCACCUGGGGAGUACGCCGGCAACGGUGAAACUCAAAGGAAUUGACGGGGGCCCGCACAAGCGGAGGAACAUGUGGUUUAAUUCGAUGAUACGCGAGGAACCUUACCCGGGCUUAAAUUGCAGAUGAAUUACGGUGAAAGCCGUAAGCCGCAAGGCAUCUGUGAAGGUGCUGCAUGGUUGUCGUCAGCUCGUGCCGUGAGGUGUCGGCUUAAGUGCCAUAACGAGCGCAACCCUUGUUGUCAGUUACUAACAGGUUCCGCUGAGGACUCUGACAAGACUGCCAUCGUAAGAUGUGAGGAAGGUGGGGAUGACGUCAAAUCAGCACGGCCCUUACGUCCGGGGCUACACACGUGUUACAAUGGGGGGUACAGAGGGCCGCUACCACGCGAGUGGAUGCCAAUCCCCAAAACCUCUCUCAGUUCGGACUGGAGUCUGCAACCCGACUCCACGAAGCUGGAUUCGCUAGUAAUCGCGCAUCAGCCACGGCGCGGUGAAUACGUUCCCGGGCCUUGUACACACCGCCCGUCAAGCCAUGGGAGCCGGGGGUACCUGAAGUGCGUAACCGCGAGGAGCGCCCUAGGGUAAAACUGGUGACUGGGGCUAAG
rnacentral:rRNA from 1 species